rnacentral:rRNA from 1 species
GACGAACGCUGGCGGCGUGCUUAACACAUGCAAGUCGUACGGUAAGGCCCUUUCGGGGGUCCACGAGUGGCGAACGGGUGAGUAACACGUGAGUAACCUGCCCACAACUUUGGGAUAACGCUAGGAAACUGGUGCUAAUACUGGAUAUGUGCUCCUGCUGCAUGGUGGGGGUUGGAAAGCUCCGGCGGUUGUGGAUGGACUCGCGGCCUAUCAGCUGGUUGGUGGGGUAGUGGCCUACCAAGGCGGCGACGGGUAGCCGGCCUGAGAGGGUGACCGGCCACAUUGGGACUGAGAUACGGCCCAGACUCCUACGGGAGGCAGCAGUGGGGAAUAUUGCACAAUGGGCGCAGGCCUGAUGCAGCAACGCCGCGUGCGGGAUGACGGCCUUCGGGUUGUAAACCGCUUUCAGCAGGGACGAAGCUUUUUGUGACGGUACCUGCAGAAGAAGCACCGGCUAACUACGU